rnacentral:rRNA from 1 species
GUGUCAGCAGCCGCGGUAAUACAGAGGGUGCGAGCGUUAAUCGGAUUUACUGGGCGUAAAGCGUGCGUAGGCGGCUUUUUAAGUCGGAUGUGAAAUCCCUGAGCUUAACUCAGGAAUUGCAUUCGAUACUGGGAAGCUAGAGUAUGGGAGGGGAUGGUAGAAUUCCAGGUGUAGCGGUGAAAUGCGUAGAGAUCUGGAGGAAUACCGAUGGCGAAGGCAGCCAUCUGGCCUAAUACUGACGCUGAGGUACGAAAGCAUGGGGAGCAAACAGGAUUAGAAACCCCAGUAGUCC